rnacentral:rRNA from 1 species
UGCAGUUCGAGCGGACAGAUGGGAGCUUGCUCCCUGAUGUUAGCGGCGGACGGGUGAGUAACACGUGGGUAACCUGCCUGUAAGACUGGGAUAACUCCGGGAAACCGGGGCUAAUACCGGAUGGUUGUUUGAACCGCAUGGUUCAAACAUAAAAGGUGGCUUCGGCUACCACUUACAGAUGGACCCGCGGCGCAUUAGCUAGUUGGUGAGGUAACGGCUCACCAAGGCGACGAUGCGUAGCCGACCUGAGAGGGUGAUCGGCCACACUGGGACUGAGACACGGCCCAGACUCCUACGGGAGGCAGCAGUAGGGAAUCUUCCGCAAUGGACGAAAGUCUGACGGAGCAACGCCGCGUGAGUGAUGAAGGUUUUCGGAUCGUAAAGCUCUGUUGUUAGGGAAGAACAAGUACCGUUCGAAUAGGGCGGUACCUUGACGGUACCUAACCAGAAAGCCACGGCUAACUACGUGCCAGCAGCCGCGGUAAUACGUAGGUGGCAAGCGUUGUCCGGAAUUAUUGGGCGUAAAGGGCUCGCAGGCGGUUUCUUAAGUCUGAUGUGAAAGCCCCCGGCUCAACCGGGGAGGGUCAUUGGAAACUGGGGAACUUGAGUGCAGAAGAGGAGAGUGGAAUUCCACGUGUAGCGGUGAAAUGCGUAGAGAUGUGGAGGAACACCAGUGGCGAAGGCGACUCUCUGGUCUGUAACUGACGCUGAGGAGCGAAAGCGUGGGGAGCGAACAGGAUUAGAUACCCUGGCA